GCCCAGACUCCUACGGGAGGCAGCAGUGAGGAAUAUUGGUCAAUGGCCGGAAGGCUGAACCAGCCAAGCCGCGUGAAGGACGAAGGUGCCAAGCAUUGUAAACUUCUUUUGUCAAGGGACAAAAUCAGGCUCGAGAGCCUGACCGAGGGUACUUGAAGAAAAAGCAUCGGCUAACUGCGUGCCAGCAGCCGCGGUAAUACGUAGGGAGCGAGCGUUGUCCGGAAUUACUGGGUGUAAAGGGAGCGUAGGCGGGCUUGUAAGUUGAACGUCUAAUCCACCGGCUCAACCGGUGAUCGCGUUCAAAACUGCAGGUCUUGAGUGAAGUAGAGGCAGGCGGAAUUCCUAGUGUAGCGGUGAAAUGCGUAGAUAUUAGGAGGAACACCAGUGGCGAAGGCGGCCUGCUGGGCUUUAACUGACGCUGAGGCUCGAAAGCGUGGGGAGCAAACAGGAUUAGAUACCCCAGUAAUA
rnacentral:rRNA from 1 species